rnacentral:tRNA from 1 species
AGGGGGUUAGAUUAAGUAGAUCGGAUAGUCUUCAAAACUAUUGGUGUUGGUUCAAAUCCGACAUCCCUUG